rnacentral:rRNA from 1 species
CCUACGGGUGGCAGCAGUGGGGAAUAUUUCGCAAUGGGCGAAAGCCUGACGGAGCGACGCCGCGUGAGGGAUGAAGGUCUUCGGAUCGUAAAACUCUGUUAGUAGGGAAGAACGGUCACUGUACUAAUCAGCAGUGAAUUGACGGUACCUGCACAGGAAGCACCGGCUAACUCGGUGCCAGCAGCCGCGGUAAUACGGAGGGCGCGAGCGUUAGACGGAAGUACUGGGCGUAAAGCGAUCGUAGGCGGUAUGUCAAGUCAAGGGUGAAAUCCCCGCGCUCAACGUGGGAACUGCCUUUGAAACUGGGAGACUGGAGUGUGGGAGAGGAUAGUGGAAUUCCAGGUGUAGGAGUGAAAUCCGUAGAUAUCUGGAGGAACAUCAGUGGCGAAGGCGACUAUCUGG